GAAGGUCCUGCGGAAAUAUCUUCCGGGAUUAAAACAAGGAGCGUCGGACUCCCGUCUAGAUGCGGCCCUGUAGGAAAGCGCUGCGGAGACCGCGAAAAAGCUGCUCGGAAGACCCACGGCGCUGAAAACGGGGAUUGGAAAAAAAAAAAAAGUAAAUGGUGUGUGUGACAAAAAAAGCUGGGUGAUUCUGUUUUCUCAUGCCCUCGCUCCUCCACCAGCUGCACAGCCAAGCGCAGGCUGCUUGGCCCUUAUAACUAUCUUGGCACGGAGUCAAAAGCUGAUAAGCAUUUGGGCGAGACAGCUCAACUGCUGUGCUGGAAGAAAAACAGCUGCCAUGAUUUCUGUUUGAUUGAGAGCGCUUACACACACGCACAAAAAACACAUCGGGCUGCAGAGACGGGCCACGAAUGCCUGAGGAUUCAGCUUCAGAAGAGCAACGCACGUUUCCUUAAAAAAAAAAAAAAAAGAAAGAAAGAAAAAGAAAAAAAAAAAGUUUUAUACAGUUUUGCCUCCAUUCCUCCUCCCCUUUUUAAAGAAAAUGUACUGCGUAGACUCGCUCCUCUCCUUCCCAUCCCCCUCCAUAACCUCAAGCAAACUCGAGGAAUUGUGCCAAAAGUCCCGUUGCUAGUUACCGAGUGCGUUUUUUUUAAACGUCCCUUUGAUACUUCUUCCCCUUGUGCUUGCCAUGGAAUAUGCAAGUACGAUAAUCUUUCCAUUACUUAGGAAAAGUAAUUAAAAAUGAAAAGAGCUUCUAGCAAGCCUUCCUUUUUCUACUUUUUUUUUUCUCUGAAGGGGCAGAAGAAGGGAGGCGAGAGAGAGAAGAAUAUUUUUUCUCUUUGCAGAGUCCAACAUUUGGCUUUUUCCAUUUGUGGCAGAUCACUGUAACGCUAUUGUAAAACAACUUCCUGCCCCUUUUGGCUCCGGUUCCAGAAGCUGCUAGGCUAAGUUCAUAGCGCAAACUUUUUUCCCCCUUGCCGAAGAAGAAAGGCAAAAAAAAUAUUCCUGCACAUUAUUUUCCUCCUUCUCCGGCUAAUGGACUCACAAGGUGAAUUCAUUGCAGCUCUGUAAGAAUGUCACACAAGAGACAGCGCUAUCCCAGCUGGAUAAUUCAUGAGCUGAAAGAUGCUGGGUCUGAUGAAAAUGCCCACCGAGGACUGCUAAACCCUCCCUGCUAGGAAUGAGAUGGAGCAGUCUGUGAUGCGAGCCAAAAGGGAGAAAAGAAGGCCUCUACAACUUGCUCUCUCACGAUCUCCCUCUCCCUCUGUUUCUCUCAUAGCAACAGCAUUUCUUGGUACGCCUGCUUUGGCAUACAUCAGCAUUUCUACCCGUCCAAGUGUCCUUUUGCGUCACAUCUCGCCAUUUCGCUCAACCAAUGAGAUCUCCUGCUUGCAGUAAAAAUAUAUAUACUUUUUCUGUUAUUGGUAUAUUCAAAUUUUUUUAAGUGCUUUCUUAAUAAAAAGCGUUGUCGAGCA